AUGUAUGAAAACACAACAGAGAGAACAUUGUCGAGGAAAAGAAGAAAAACCGGAAAGAUUCGAGAGUGGUCGAGAGGAAUUUUGUGAGCUCACCCUUGCCAACUAUCACUAAUGGUCUCUUCGAUGCCAUCAGUAUAUCCACCGCCCGUUCGAUCAAUCUCACGUCGGGAUACGACAACGGCGACGGUGGACAAGGCACGACCUUCGUUAUUUUGUUCUCCUCGACAUUCUGCGUCAACAAUGUGGCAGGAAAAGAAGAUGGGAAAAGGAAAAGAUAUAGAGCGAUAUAUCCUCCCCCCCUCCAAAAAGAAGGAACAAUUUCUCUACCUGGUCUACCGUAAGUGGCCAGUCGCACAGCUUUCUCGACGUGCAUCGGUAUGAGGGUGGCCGAGGGUGGCCUAGCGGCGUAUUUGCAGUAAGGUCGGCAUGCUUCGACCUGCGGCCACUCCUGAAAUCCGCCGAUCCCUUCGUGAUCCUGAGGACAAGAUCCGCCCAGGACGAGUACCGGCCUGUCGAAAUAUUUUCUUCGUCAGAACGUAAAUUUCGGGAAUUUAUUGUAAUUCAUACGGUAAUCGAGACACCCAUACACAUGUACACGACUGAUAAAAAAAGUAAUGUGUCGCGUAUCGUUUCUCUGUCGAGAAAAGAGUCAGCAGAACACGAUAAUGUAAUCACGCGACUUUGCGUCGCCGAUAUCAACGCGAAAAGAUUGCAAUCGGAAAACGGAACAGAGACAAUCUCCUCCGCGUCGUCUUCCGGACAUGCGACGACACCGGAACGGAAUCUGCGUUAAUAUAUAAAAAAGGCAUCAAGAUCCGUUUGUAUCUCGUGAUCUCGCAAUCCGGCGGAAUUUCCCGUAAAUCUCCCGCAGCUACCUUAUGUAUUAUGUAUCUUCGCGCGUUACGUACUGUUACAACCUACUUUUAAUCGGGCCUCACAUUAUGACCGUUUUAUCGCAGAACCGAAUAAUCGUUGAUGACGAUCGUCCUCGGUCGAUACUUUCUAGAAGCGAAUCGCGCGCUAAAAUUCUCGUUAUAUCGGUCGGUGGGCCACUCACCAGCAGUUCACCUGCGCGUUCGCCAUACCGCCGAUGACGUGCAGUACGCCCGGGCCGGACACGC